AAGGAUCAUUACCGAGUGCGGGCUGCCUCCGGGCGCCCAACCUCCCACCCGUGACUACCUAACACUGUUGCUUCGGCGGGGAGCCCUCUCGGGGGCGAGCCGCCGGGGACUACUGAACUUCAUGCCUGAGAGUGAUGCAGUCUGAGUCUGAAUAUAAAAUCAGUCAAAACUUUCAACAAUGGAUCUCUUGGUUCCGGCAUCGAUGAAGAACGCAGCGAACUGCGAUAAGUAAUGUGAAUUGCAGAAUUCAGUGAAUCAUCGAGUCUUUGAACGCACAUUGCGCCCCCUGGCAUUCCGGGGGGCAUGCCUGUCCGAGCGUCAUUGCUGCCCAUCAAGCCCGGCUUGUGUGUUGGGUCGUCGUCCCCCCCGGGGGACGGGCCCGAAAGGCAGCGGCGGCACCGUGUCCGGUCCUCGAGCGUAUGGGGCUUUGUCACCCGCUCGAUUAGGGCCGGCCGGGCGCCAGCCGACGUCUCCAACCAUUUUCUUCAGGUUGACCUCGGAUCAGGUAGGGAUACCCGCUGAGCUUAA
rnacentral:rRNA from 1 species